rnacentral:rRNA from 1 species
AUACGUAGGGAGCGAGCGUUGUCCGGAUUUACUGGGUGUAAAGGGUGCGUAGGCGGGUUUGCAAGUCAGACGUGAAAUACCGGGGCUUAACUCCGGGGCUGCGUUUGAAACUGUAGAUCUUGAGUGAAGUAGAGGCAAGCGGAAUUCCUAGUGUAGCGGUGAAAUGCGUAGAUAUUAGGAGGAACACCAGUGGCGAAGGCGGCUUGCGGGGCUUUAACUGACGCUGAGGCACGAAAGCGUGGGGAGCAAACAGGAUGAGAUACCCGGGUGGCCCACGCCGUAAACGAUGAUUGCUAGGUGUGGGGGGACUGACCCCCUCCGUGCCGGAGUAAACACAAUAAGCAAUCCACCUGGGGAGCACGACCGCAAGGUUGAAACUCAAAUGAAUUGACGGGG